rnacentral:rRNA from 1 species
CAGUAGCCACGGGAAUACGAAGGGUGCAAGCGUUACUCGGAAUUACUGGGCGUAAAGCGUGCGUAGGUGGUGGUUUAAGUCCGUUGUGAAAGCCCUGGGCUCAACCUGGGAAUUGCAGUGGAUACUGGGUCACUAGAGUGUGGUAGAGGAUAGUGGAAUUUCCGGUGUAGCAGUGAAAUGCGUAGAGAUCGGAAGGAACAUCUGUGGCGAAGGCGACUAUCUGGGCCAACACUGACACUGAGGCACGAAAGCGUGGGGGGCAAACAGGAUUAGAGACCCCCGUAGUCCCUGUCUCUUAUAC